AGAGUUUGCAAUGGUUUUGUAAAGUGUGCGGUGUGGAUCGGGGACAGAGUUGCUACCACUUUUCGCGGCCUUCUCGCUCUAGUCACGGCUGCAGAAACCCUCAGAGGGCAUCAGCUUGCCUGUACAUGGUGGGCGAGCAGAAAGUAUGCAGGCACCUGCAGCCCGCUCGUGGGUGGAGCCUGCUAAUGAGCAACUCUGCUGACUGACUGGAGGGGAGGUGCUCAUUCCAGGCCUCUGGCCAGGAGCCUUCUCUUCUGGGCUUGUCAGAGAGCCAGUGCCACAGGCUUCAGGUUCACCUCAAUGGAAAACAGCAUCCGAGCCACAGCCCAGGCCGCCCAUCUCUCUGAAAAGGCUCAGCAUACAAGCUCUGUCCUGAUGGCGGUCCCUCCUGUUGUCACUCUGUGAACGGGGUCUACUGCCUUCUGAACAACUCCUGAGACAACAGUAUAUUCAUUUAAAAUGUCCAUUUUCAGCUGGGCAGUGGUGGCACACACCUUUAAAUCCCAGCACUUGAGAGGCAGAGACAGGCGGAUUUCUAAGUUCGAGACCAGCCUACAGAGUAAGUUCCAGAACAGCCAGGACUACACAGAGAAACCCUGUCUCCAAAAACAAAACAGCAACAAUACAACAACAACAAUAAUAAUAAAUAAAAACGUCCAUUUCCAUC
rnacentral:lncRNA from 1 species